UGGAGGAUUAUUUUUUUGAAUGUGGUUUUAUGGCUGUAUUUGGGUUUCGAAUUUUUGAUUGUGUCUGUCUCUGAAGUUGUUUGCCUAAACAAUAUAUGUUUGCUUUGGUUGCUAGGCAAUUUUAGGCUUUGGGUACUGGAUGUAUGUGGAUUUCGUGCUUGGAAAUGGAUUGAUGAAAAACUGGGUGCUGGGAUUUGUUUUGAAACUGAGUGGCUGUCGAACCAGAAGCUGAAGCUUCUGUGUUUCUAAGCUUUUGUUCUUGCUUUGCGAUUCUGCUGCUGCUAGGUUUUGUAGUGUCAAUUGUGUUCGCCGUUUCCCAAAAAACUACACAAACUAA
rnacentral:lncRNA from 1 species